GCUAAACUUCCUGCUACUUACUCUUCACAAUGUGGUGCUCACAUAUCGUCGGAGGAACGAGCUCCGAACUGUGAGGGUGUGUCGAGGCAUGCUAGCUGAUGGAAGAAACUCUUUUGAUUAGCGCCCUUGGAGAGCGGGAUGAGGUAUGAAGGAAAAUGUGUGGAGUUUGUAUCAUUAUCAGAAAGGAUUUUGGAAAAGAGAAUGUCAUUACUUAAUUUGUUUAUGCGUUAAUUGCACGUCCUCAAGAUAAAAGCAAUAUAUUCUUUCUGUAUUUCAUUCAAAGGAAGCAUGUGAUAUUUUAUUUGUCAUAACAGCUUAAAAACAUAUUUCAUUUCAUAUUGGUUAUUAGUUAAAAUGUUAAAAUGAUUUGUAUUGGGUAUAAACAUGAUAAAUAUGUGAACAUGAUUUAUGUGCGAGUUAUUUGUGAAACUACAUAGAAGCAUUAUAUAUUUCUUCUGUUUUAUUCUGUAGUUUUCACGGUGUUCGUGGUGUUCAUGGUGCUUAUGGUGCUUAUGGUGCAUGGUGGUCGUUGAGAGGAAGAAAUAAAUCGACACCCAUUUGAAACUCUCUGCAUCUUGAUCAAUUUGACUCGAAGGCAACUAAACAUUGCUUUUGCAUCCUUAUUGGCUCACAGACGGGUGUUAUUACAUUGGAAAUCCGCAAACCCACCUAAAGCAUCGCAUUGGCUUCAGGAUCUGAUGUUAUACCUACAUUUGGAAAAGAUUAAAUAUUCAAUUAGACGCUCCCAUAAAUGUUCCUA